UCUUCAGUACACGGCCGUGGAUGUACACGGCCCAUGUGCUGCACACGUGAUGCCAAAAUUAAUGGACGGCGUUAGUGGAUAGGAGUUGGUGAACAAGAAAAAUGCGGAAGACCAAAAACUGAGAAAGGCAGUAAAUCAAACAAAGUCUAACCAUAACCAAAUGCUCAUCCAUACACCUUCGAAUUCGAUCUGGACGCUCUCUCUCCAAGAACAACAGUCAUUCGCCUUCGACCCUCUCUCCCACUCCAGAAUCCUCAAGCGCUCUCCACUUCUCGGGCAUCAACCUUCUUCUCGGCUCUCUCUCCUCCCCAACUUCAUCGUCGUCGGCGGAGUUCCCGACUCCGAUUCGUGGAAGCUCGGUCCUCCUCUCCCUCUCGCUAACCCCGACAACCCCAAUAUCAUAUAAAGGUUCCAAGUCGAUCAUCGGCGUUAGUUUUGUAUUGAAACCGUACAAUUCAAUCUCACAAUUUAAUUGAAAUUGGGGGUUUCGAAUUUGCAGUUGACUCCGGACGACUCCGACAUAGUAGUGAAGCCGAUUGAAGGAUUCGUCGUGUUGGUGACGGUCAGUUGGUUGGUGAAGAUGUAGCAUGUCUCUUAAUGUAUUAUCAUUUUGGAAUUUAGUUACAGACCAGUGUAUAGCAAAUCUACAAAUGACCACAUCAAAGAUCAGGCAGUAGCCCCAGGUGCUUUGUCUUGAAAGCCAACAAAGAUCCAGCCGACAACUUUUAGUCCUCUCCGAUUGCAGUCGUUCUUUCCUUAUUAAUGGCAUAUUCUACUUAAGAAACAUCUGGGUUUUACAUGCUGGUCUUCUGGAUAAUCAAAAAAAUUUCACAAUUGUAAUAUAUUUGGAAUCAAGAUCAGUUUUUUCUUUAUUAAUGUCAUUUUACCAUUUGCAAUCAUUGAAUGUAAAAUUGUAAAUUAGUUUUCCCUCGUUGAAUUGUAGCAGCAGAUUGGUUCA